GACGAACGCGGCGGCGUGCUUAACACAUGCAAGUCGAACGAUGAAGCCUAGCUGCUAGGUGGAUUAGUGGCGAACGGGUGAGUAAUACGUGAGUAACCUACCUUUAACUAUGGGAUAAGCCUGGGAAACUGGGUCUAAUACCGGAUACGACCAAUCUCCGCCUGGGGUGUUGGUGGACAGCGUUAUGUAGUGGUUAUAGAUGGGCUCACGGCCUAUCAGCUUGUUGGUGAGGUAACGGCUCACCAAGGCGACGACGGGUAGCCGGCCUGAGAGGGUGACCGGCCACACUGGGACUGAGACACGGCCCAGACUCCUACGGGAGGCAGCAGUGGGGAAUAUUGCACAAUGGGCGCAAGCCUGAUGCAGCGACGCCGCGUGAGGGAUGACGGCCUUCGGGUUGUAAACCUCUGUUAGCAGGGAAGAAGAGAAAUUGACGGUACCUGCAGAGAAAGCGCCGGCUAACUACGUGCCAGCAGCCGCGGUAAUACGUAGGGCGCGAGCGUUGUCCGGAAUUAUUGGGCGUAAAGAGCUUGUAGGCGGUUUGUCGCGUCUGCUGUGAAAGGCCGGGGCUUAACCCCGUGUAUUGCAGUGGGUACGGGCAGACUAGAGUGCAGUAGGGGAGACUGGAAUUCCUGGUGUAGCGGUGGAAUGCGCAGAUAUCAGGAGGAACACCGAUGGCGAAGGCAGGUCUCUGGGCUGUAACUGACGCUGAGAAGCGAAAGCAUGGGGAGCGAACAGG
rnacentral:rRNA from 1 species